rnacentral:rRNA from 1 species
CCUACGGGCGGCAGCAGUCGGGGAUAUUGCGCAAUGGAGGAAACUCUGACGCAGCGACGCCGCGUGCAGGAAGAAGGUUCUCGGAUCGUAAACUGCUUUCGACAGGGAAGAUACAAGACAGUACCUGUAAAAUAAGCUCCGGCUAACUACGUGCCAGCAGCCGCGGUAAUACGUAGGGAGCAAGCGUUAUCCGGAUUUAUGGGGUGUAAGGGGUGCGUAGACGGGAAGGCAAGUUGGUUGUGAAAUCCCUCGGCUUAACUGCGGAACUGCAAACAAACCUAUGUUGCUUGAGUGCUGGAGGGGAAAGUGGAAUUCCUAGUGUAGCGGUGAAAUGCGUAGAUAUUAGGAGGAACACCAGUGGCGAAGGCGACUUUCUGGACAGUAACUGACGUUGAGGCACGAAAGUGUGGGGAGCAAACAGGAUUAGAUACCCUUGUAGUC